CCUACGGGGGGCUGCAGUGGGGAAUAUUGCACAAUGGGGGAAACCCUGAUGCAGCGACGCCGCGUGAGUGAAGAAGUAUUUCGGUAUGUAAAGCUCUAUCAGCAGGGAAGAGAAUGACGGUACCUGAGUAAGAAGCCCCGGCUAACUACGUGCCAGCAGCCGCGGUAAUACGUAGGGGGCAAGCGUUAGCCGGAUUUAUUGGGUGUAAAGGGAGCGUAGACGGCGGAGAAAGUCUGAAGUGAAAGCCCGCGGCUCAACCGCGGAACUGCUUUGGAAACUUUUUUGCUGGAGUACCGGAGAGGUAAGCGGAAUGCCUGGUGUAGCGGUGAAAUGCGUAGAUAUUAGGAGGAACACCAGUGGCGAAGGCGGCUUACUGGACGGUAACUGACGUUGAGGCUCGAAAGCGUGGGGAGCGAACAGGAUUAGAUACCCGAGUAGUC
rnacentral:rRNA from 1 species